rnacentral:lncRNA from 1 species
CACUUAAAUGGUUUUUAUGCUUAUUCAUUCCUUUGCCAUUUAAUUCUUUCUUUCACGAAAAGUGUCUAGAGGGAACGGAGGGAUUUGGAACACAGGCUCAACGCCUUGCCUUAUCCAUCCCAUUUCCACACACUCGCGAUCUAUCGCCGUUGCCCGUUGUGCCGUUAUUUGGUUUGGUUUGCUUUGACUGGACUUUUCUUUGAGCGCCGCACCUCAUGCAUCAGUUGCU